rnacentral:lncRNA from 1 species
CUCCCCGCUAUCCUCAAGCCAAGAUAGCCCCUUUCCAGAAGAGUCUUGACUGAAGACGACAGGAAGUGCUCAGGGAGCCGGGAUGGAGCUCCAUGCCCAGCGUUAUGGGCAGAGCCUUCUGCAUGGGGGUGGGGGGUCCUUGCAGGAGGACUCAGCUGCCAGCAUUUGCCAGCUUCCCUGCAGGUUCUCAGAACCUCGCAGACUUGCCCGGGUGAGACCAGAGACAGCCUUGACUACCGAAGACCAGGAUGCAAGCUGGCAGGGUGUCUUGGUGUCCAGGGAAGCAGCCUGCCUUAGAGGGGCCCGGGGUUCUCUCGGAACACGACUCCUCUCGCACCGGCCUCUGGGAGCCCAUGAGCGGUGGGGCGUCGCCCAGCUCCCAGGACGCAAGUCCAGAUCCCCACCGGGGUGAAUUAAGAACCAGAGGGCUGGGUGACAGUGGGUGGGAGGGGAUAGGCCCUCUCCUCCCCAGUGGUCCCCUGUGGGCCACCUCUUGCCCCUGUUCCUGUGUAACGGCCCUGCCCCCUUUUCUGUCUUGCAGCUUGUUUUUCCCCUACAGCCACGUAGGGCUCAGGGAUGUUCUGAGAAGCUUUAUGGCUGCUUUCACCAACCUUAGGGAGAACCGAAGGCUCUGGAGCUUCCUGACUCUCAGGGACCGGGUGUCGCCCAGCCUGUGGCCCGAGCUGGCGCUGUCCCUGCUGGUGGUGGCGAUGCUCAGCUGGGGGUGCCGCCCCCACUGACCGAACUGCUGGUCAGUGUGGGGGUGGGGCUGGCCCCUCCCUCUCGACCACCACCCUGGCGGUGGCCCUGUUUUGGUGGUGUUGUCUUUUAACUGUUUUCUGAUGAUGCUUUUUUUUUUUUUUUUUAAUUUAAACUCUGAGUGCUGGGACACUGAGGUUCAUACUAUUUUUUUCCUUUUUUUUUUUUUUUGUAAGAGAAAUGAAUUUAUUAUACCUCUGGGGUCGUUACUGGUUAAUGACCUGCUCUCCCGGUGCCAGCCUGCUCUGCGGUGGCCUGUCCUGGGACGGAGCCUCCCUCUCAUGGGUUGGUCGAACAGGGGGCGGCGGGGGGAGUGCUGGUCACACCCCCGUGUCUGGGAUGCCCGUGGCACAGAGAAUCUGCUGGAAUAGAUUUCUGUGGGGCGAGGAGAGCUCAAUAAAAUGUUGGUUUCCAGCCA